CCUACGGGAGGCAGCAGUGAGGAAUAUUGGUCAAUGGACGAGAGUCUGAACCAGCCAAGUAGCGUGAAGGAUGACUGCCCUAUGGGUUGUAAACUUCUUUUAUAUGGGAAUAAAAUGUUCCACGUGUGGGAUUUUGUAUGUACCAUAUGAAUAAGGAUCGGCUAACUCCGUGCCAGCAGCCGCUGUAAUACGGAGGAUCCGAGCGUUAUCCGGAUUUAUUGGGUUUAAAGGGAGCGUAGGUGGAUUGUUAAGUCAGUUGUGAAAGUUUGCGGCUCAACCGUAAAAUUGCAGUUGAAACUGGCAGUCUUGAGUACAGUAGAGGUGGGCGGAAUUCGUGGUGGAGCGGUGAAAUGCUUAGAUAUCACGAAGAACUCCGAUUGCGAAGGCAGUUCACUGGACUGCAACUGACACUGAGGCUCGAAAGUGUGGGUAUCAAACAGGAUUAGAUACCCCAGUAGUC
rnacentral:rRNA from 1 species